UACGAAGGGUGCAAGCGUUACUCGGAAUUACUGGGCGUAAAGCGUGCGCAGGCGGUUUUGUAAGCCCGGUGUGAAAUCCCCGGGCUCAACCUGGGAAUGGCAUUUGGGACUGCAAGGCUGGAGUGCGGCAGAGGAGACUGGAAUUCCUGGUGUAGCAGUGAAAUGCGUAGAUAUCAGGAGGAACACCGAUGGCGAAGGCAGGUCUCUGGGCUGACACUGACGCUCAUGCACGAAAGCGUGGGGAGCAAACAGG
rnacentral:rRNA from 1 species